rnacentral:rRNA from 1 species
UACGGAGGGUGCAAGCGUUGCUCGGAAUUACUGGGCGUAAAGGGUGCGUAGGCGGCCGCGCAAGUCUGGCGUGAAAGCCCCGGGCUCAGCCCGGGAAGGGCGCUCGAAACGGCGCGGCUCGAGUGCCGGAGGGGAGAGUGGAAUUCCUGGUGUAGCGGUGAAAUGCGUAGAUAUCAGGAGGAAUACCGGUGGCGAAAGCGACUCUCUGGACGGCAACUGACGCUGAGGCACGAAAGCGUGGGGAGCAAACAGG